UUGUGGAGGAGGACGCCGAAGGUGGGGCUAAUGACUGGGGUGAAGUCGUAACAAGGUAGCCGUACCGGAAGGUGCGGCUGGAUCACCUCCUAACAGGGAGACAACAAAAUGUUUAAUAUUAUUAUUUUGUCACCUUAGGUCGAUCGGUACCUCACAUUUUUAAUUUAUUAAAAAUUUCAUUUCCUAAGUUUUUCUAGGUCACACCCAUUAUUUUCCUGGGCCAUUAGCUCAGGUGGUUAGAGCGCACCCCUGAUAAGGGUGAGGUCCCUGGUUCAAGUCCAGGAUGGCCCAUAUCUCUAUGUUGGGGGUAUAGCUCAGUUGGUAGAGCGCCUGCUUUGCAAGCAGGAUGUCAGCGGUUCGAGUCCGCUUACCUCCACUGAUUACCACCUCUUCCAUAAAAUGUAGAAGGGAAAUGUUUUGAGUUGUGAUCACUUUCUGAACGAAUCUAGCUUCCUAAUGUAAUCAUUAAGACGCUGGACUCAUUGAAUUAAUUUCAUUGUUUUCAGAGAACCUUGACAACUGCUUAGAUUAUUUUUAAAGACAAUAAGCAUCUUUAAUGAUGCAGAUUUAUUAUUUGUGCGAAUGCAUUAAUAACAAUUCUAUUAAGCUGAUGCUUCAAUUUUGAAGUUAUUGGUCAAGCUACAA
rnacentral:misc_RNA from 1 species